ensembl:lncRNA
AUUUGUUCAGUGUUUUAUUGGAAGAAUGACUUUGCCAGCCAUGAAAACAGAGCCAUUUGAUUGCCAAUGUGCUGCAUGAAUACUUAAUGUACUAUUAGAGGGGUUGGAUUUCCAUUUCACAUUUGUUAGGGUUUGUUCAGAGACUUUCCUUUUUUUUUUUCUUUUUAUUACAUAGCUCUUACGGGUGAACUGUCAUUAUGUAAUCACUGUGCAUUUGUGACUGGGAUCCUGAAGGCUGCCUCACAGUAUUUUAUUUUCUUCUUUGCUUGAGUGUGUUGUGGAUACGCCUUUUUGGUCACACUCACCAUAUUCACCUGGUUACAUCUUUUAUUAUACGUAGUCCCAAGUACAAAAAUUCUAGAACGUCAGAAUGUAAAUCUAGAGUAAUGUGGCUGAUAUUUAGCAUUAUGCUCAAGAACAGUUCAACACUGUUUAUGCACAUUUAUUCAUUUCAUUAUAUCCAAAAUGGGAUUAAACCUCCGGUGAACGAAACACAUUCUUUUCAUUAACAGGAGACAUCUGAAGACAUAUUGUGUUUUUUAGCGUUAAUAGGACUUUAAAGAAUACAGUCCAUCUACAGUAGUGUGUAAAAGUCUGGAGUCAAUCCACAUUUCUUCAUAUGUUUCUACAAGGCACUCAGACUUCCUGGUAAUUUUUAAAGUUGUCUUCCGCAAUAGAUCUUCAGGCUUUCUGAAGGUCGAAAGAUUUUUUUAGUUUGUUGAACCACUUAACAUCGGCUUAUGACUCAUUCAAGCACAAACGAGGCUCAAGAAAUGGCUCAAGAAAUAAACCAGUGUUGUGUCUACACAUAGCAGACAGUUUAGCAAAGAACCCAUUUUAAGUUGCAACUUUAGGAAAAUGUGUUGAAAAUGGAAACAAAUUAUAUGGUUUUGUGACAGGCUGCUAGUAACAAAGAUAACAGUUUCACAGGAAUAAAAUUUUCUGCACCAACAAGUGGAAUACCUAAAGAGCUAUUAGUUGAAAAUUUAGCAUCUCUCAGCAUGGUGUGUGUCACAGUCUGUUCUUAAAAGAUUUGAGGAGUG